AUUACCGAGUUAUCCAACUCCCAACCCCUGUGAAUUAUACCUUUAAUUGUUGCUUCGGCGGGACUUCGCGCCCGCCGGGGACCCAAACCUUCUGAAUUUUUUAAUAAGUAUCUUCUGAGUGGUUAAAAAAAAUGAAUCAAAACUUUCAACAACGGAUCUCUUGGUUCUGGCAUCGAUGAAGAACGCAGCGAAAUGCGAUAAGUAAUGUGAAUUGCAGAAUUCAGUGAAUCAUCGAAUCUUUGAACGCACAUUGCGCCCGUCAGUAUUCUGGCGGGCAUGCCUGUUCGAGCGUCAUUACGCCCCUCAAGUCCCCUGUGGACUUGGUGUUGGGGAUCGGCGAGGCUGGUUUUCCAGCACAGCCGUCCCUUAAAUUGAUUGGCGGUCUCGCCGUGGCCCUCCUCUGCGCAGUAGUAAAACACUCGCAACAGGAGCCCGGCGCGGUCCACUGCCGUAAAACCCCCCAACUUUUUAUAGUUGACCUCGAAUCAGGUAGGACUACCCGCUGAACUUAAGCAUAUCAAUA
rnacentral:rRNA from 1 species